rnacentral:rRNA from 1 species
UACAGAGGUCUCAAGCGUUGUUCGGAUUCAUUGGGCGUAAAGGGUGUGUAGGUGGCGCCGUAAGUCGAGUGUGAAAUUUCGGAGCUUAACUCCGAAACUGCAUUCGAUACUGCGGUGCUUGAGGACUGGAGAGGAGACUGGAAUUCAUGGUGUAGCAGUGAAAUGCGUAGAGAUCAUGAGGAAGACCAGUGGCGAAGGCGGGUCUCUGGACAGUUCCUGACACUGAGACACGAAGGCCAGGGGAGCAAACGGG